rnacentral:rRNA from 1 species
CCUACGGGAGGCAGCAGUGGGGAAUUUUGGACAAUGGGCGAAAGCCUGAUCCAGCAAUGCCGCGUGAGUGAAGAAGGCCUUCGGGUUGUAAAGCUCUUUUGUCAGGGAAGAAACGGUGAGAGCUAAUAUCUCUUGCUAAUGACGGUACCUGAAGAAUAAGCACCGGCUAACUACGUGCCAGCAGCCGCGGUAAUACGUAGGGUGCAAGCGUUAAUCGGAAUUACUGGGCGUAAAGCGUGCGCAGGCGGUUUUGUAAGUCUGAUGUGAAAUCCCCGGGCUCAACCUGGGAAUUGCAUUGGAGACUGCAAGGCUAGAAUCUGGCAGAGGGGGGUAGAAUUCCACGUGUAGCAGUGAAAUGCGUAGAUAUGUGGAGGAACACCGAUGGCGAAGGCAGCCUCCUGGGUCAAGAUUGACGCUCAUGCACGAAAGCGUGGGGAGCAAACAGGAUUAGAUACCCUGGUAGUCCACGCCCUAAACGAUGUCUACUAGUUGUCGGGUCUUAAUUGACUUGGUAACGCAGCUACGCGUGAAGUGACCGCCUGGGGAGUACGGUCGCAGAUUAAACUCAAAGGAAUUGAGG